rnacentral:rRNA from 1 species
GCAGUCGAACGAGAAGUCACUUCGGUGGCGAUUAAAGUGGCGCACGGGUGAGUAACGCGUAGACAAUCUGCCCUUCAGUCUGGGACAACUUUUCGAAAGGAGAGCUAAUACCGGAUAACAAUGCAUGACACAAGUCAUAUAUUUGAAAGCUUUAUGUGCUGAAGGAGGGGUCUGCGUCCCAUUAGCUAGUUGGUAAGGUAAAGGCUUACCAAGGCAACGAUGGGUAGCUGAUUUGAGAGGAUGAUCAGCCACAUUGGGACUGAGACACGGCCCAAACUCCUACGGGAGGCAGCAGUAGGGAAUCUUGCACAAUGGAGGAAACUCUGAUGCAGCGAUGCCGCGUGAGUGAAGAAGGCCUUUGGGUUGUAAAGCUCUUUCGUCGGGGAAGAAAAUGACUGUACCCGAAUAAGAAGGUCCGGCUAACUUCGUGCCAGCAGCCGCGGUAAUACGAAGGGACCUAGCGUAGUUCGGAAUUACUGGGCUUAAAGAGUUCGUAGGUGGUUAAAAAAGUUGGUGGUGAAAUCCCAGAGCUUAACUCUGGAACUGCCAUCAAAACUUUUUAGCUAGAGUAUGAUAGAGGAAAGCAGAAUUUCUAGUGUAGAGGUGAAAUUCGUAGAUAUUAGAAAGAAUACCAAUUGCGAAGGCAGCUUUCUGGAUCAUUACUGACACUGAGGAACGAAAGCAUGGGGUAGCGAAGAGGAUUA